rnacentral:rRNA from 1 species
UAGGGAAUCUUCGGCAAUGGGGGGAACCCUGACCGAGCAACGCCGCGUGAGUGAAGAAGGUUUUCGGAUCGUAAAGCUCUGUUGUUAAGGAAGAACGAGUGUGAGAAUGGAAAGUUCAUACUGUGACGGUACUUAACCAGAAAGGGACGGCUAACUACGUGCCAGCAGCCGCGGUAAUACGUAGGUCCCGAGCGUUGUCCGGAUUUAUUGGGCGUAAAGCGAGCGCAGGCGGUUAGAAAAGUCUGAAGUGAAAGGCAGUGGCUCAACCAUUGUAGGCUUUGGAAACUGUUUAACUUGAGUGCAGAAGGGGAGAGUGGAAUUCCAUGUGUAGCGGUGAAAUGCGUAGAUAUUAGGAAGAACACCAGUGGCGAAAGCGGCUCUCUGGUCUGUAACUGACGCUGAGGCUCGAAAGCGUGGGGAGCGAACAGG